CGCGGCGCCCUUCCCGUGGUGCCGCGGGAGCGGCGGCCGCAGCGGCCGCGACUUCAUCCGGGUCCCGCAAGUACCGGGACGGCGGGGCCGGGCGGCGGCCGCGGGGCCGGGGGUACGCGGGCUCACUGGAAGGUCCGGAAGUGCCGCCCCCGGGAGCCGCCGGCGCCAGCCCUGUUCUUCAUAGCAAGCUGUCCUUGCUACGAAGGGAAUUCUGAGUGACGCAUCUGUCUGGCAAGUGUUUUCAUUUCAGUAUUCAAAGAUGAUGUUGAGCUGUGUUAAUGUGGAAAUUGGCUUUAAAGUUACAUCAGAGGCAGUUAGAGAAACUCGGACUUCUUUCUGAUGGGAAAACAUGUCUUUUCAGUGGCCUUUUGGUAAGGCAGUUUAACAACUAAAUGUCAAGAUAGAGGCCAUAAUCUUAUUAAAUUUUGUUUCUAAUAAAAGAAUUCCUGUGCACAAGGCUUAAUGUAAUUUAAGACUAGCAGAAAAAGCUCCAAGCAGUACUUUGGACAGUGGGUGAUUUUUUUUUUUUUUUUUUUUUAGCUAUUGCUGCAAUAGGUGAAAAGGCCACUCUGUGUAAUAAUAUUUUUUUAAUCAGGAUUACAAAUAUUAGGGCCUCAUCUGUAUAAAUCAGUCACAUAGCUGUGGUCCUAGAUUGCAUUAUUUUUAAGUUCUAAAGAGGAAGAAAUAUAUGUCUGCCUACAGUGUUGCUGAGAGCCUUUUCUUCUGAUUUCAGGUGAGAAGUGACACCUGUGGAACACGACUGCCACUCCUGGGCUAAAAGCACUCCUGGAGUGAAACCAGAUGAAUUCAGGGUUGGAAAACAGCAGUGCCAGAAUCUACAGGACUGACAGUCAGUGUGAAUGGUGCAACCCCACAGGAUAUCCUUGACUUAACAUAACUUUGCUCUCAAGGUGAGUGGCACAGUGCUGGCUGGGAAUGGAAAAUGCCCGUGCUUUAAGUACAGAGGGAAGCCACUUAGGAGAAUGUAAAAUACAGAGAGCUCAAGCUUGUGCAUUGGGACUUAAACUCUUCUGGCACCCCAAUUUCCAUAGUGCAUUAAAACUCUGUGACUCCCAACUGCUUGGUAGAAGUUGGAGGGAAAACUUAUUAUUACCCUCUAUUAGUAAGUCUGCAUGUUUUUCUGCACCUUUUCCAGAUCUAAUGCAAAAUUUAAGUGUUGGCCGAUUUUCGCCAAAACUGACCUUUCACCUUUCUGGGGUGGUGUGAAGCUAUGGAGUUUGAGCAUCCAAGAACCAGAACUUUUCUCUGAGGUGGUAUUGUUUCUGUAAAAAUACUUUUAAAGUUUAUUGCAUUCUCUUUCCUCCUGCUGUGCUUGAUGUACCCAGUCCUUAACUGGUUCUGUGCUAGCAUGCCCUGCAAGCAGCUUGCUGAAGUAACAAAAAACCCUACAGAAAUAAAUGCUUUUGGGAUGGGAAGUUCAGCUUAGGCAGAGUGUAAAUGGAGCCAUUGGUGUGUGUUCCAGGCAGCGAGACACUGUUUGUCAGUGCUGACAGUGUCACCUCGGAGUGUGUGCCCAGCCAGGGCAGAAGAGCAGAGCAGCUGGGGAGCUAAAGUCCUGCAGAGAGUGAAGAACGGCACAGAGGAAGUGUGGGGCUCCUAGGAAGAGGUAGUAGGUUGCAUAGUUUUAGGGCAGGGAUUUUGCUCACAAGGAGGUAACUAUACAACCUGCUGCCUUUCUUAGGGCUUUAUUAUAACACCAGGACCUUUUGGGCUCCAGCCUGCAAACAAACCUCUGCAGAUUUGGCACAUGGAGAGAAAGGACAAGGUAUUUCUAAGCGUGCUGAGGCUUAAUGAAAACUGUGUUUGGCAGAUUUGGUCCCCAGUGGAAGUGUAGGAAUGCUGGCUGGAAUGCAGCAGGGUGACACUGGGGCUGCACGUGCCACUCUGGGGACACUGGGCUGUGGUAAGUAAGAGGCUGUGCUGGGAAGGCAGCUUGUUCCAGAGUAAGCUGGAGGCCCCUGAGGUUAGGGUGGAGGUGGUGUGAGCUUCUGAACAUCAAGGUUCAGAACUGUGCACACAGGUACUGUGCUCUGGUACUGUGUGCUCACAGGGAGCUGAAAUGCACCUUCCUUCGGCUUUGUGCAUUUCAAGUGGAAAAACUCCAGUUUUCCUUCCCCAAAAGUAUCACAUUCCAGCUCCCCUGAAAGCUGGUGCUUUCUCACCAGGCAUGGGCACUCUGAGUGAAACAAGCUCUCAGUGGUGCAUUAUUUACAGUGCUGCAGGAGGGAAGUUUCCAGUUAAAAAUGGUGGCGUGGUUUCUCAUGGAAUUGUUAAAAAUCACUCCAUGUUUUUUGAUGUAAUUGCAGUGCACCACAGCAAUAGUUCUGGUAGGGCUCUGUCUGGGCACUGUUCUGUGUGGGAUACUGUGAUGUCAAUUCUGAGCACCUUGCAGCAUCAAUGUGCUCUGCUCACGCCAGCCACUAUUUAAAUUGCAAAUCAGACACAGUCCUAGCUUAUAAACAUGUUGAAUACUGCUUAUGUUGAACAUUUUGUGUGAAUUUAACUACACCUUUUUGAUUUAGUUAAUAAAAUACAGCAUUUUGUGUAA